AACCAAAUGAAAUUUCUAUUUGGCUUUUUCUGCUCAAUGUCUUAAUAAAUAGCCGCAGUACACUGACUGUGCUAAGGUAGCAUAAUAAUUUGGCUUAUAAUUGAAGUCUGGAAUGAAUGGGAGCUUGAUUAGUACCUGUCUUUACUUAUCAAAAUGAAUUUAUUAUAUAAGUGCAAAUACUUAUACUAUACUAAUAGACGAGAAGACCCUAGAAAUUUGUAAAAAUAUUUUGUUGGGGCGACAAAAUAACACAAAACUUAUUUUUAAAAAACGUAUAUUUUAUAUGAAAAUAGAUUAAAUUACUCUAGGGAUAACAGCAUAAUUUAAAAAAGUUUAUGACCUCGAUGUUGGAUUAGGGAAAAUUAUUGUUUAAAAGAUAUUAAUAUUGUUCUGUUCGAACACUCAACCUUACAUG
rnacentral:rRNA from 1 species